AUUGAACGCUGGCGGCAGGCCUAACACAUGCAAGUCGAACGGUAACAGAAAGCAGCUUGCUGCUUUGCUGACGAGUGGCGGACGGGUGAGUAAUGUCUGGGAAACUGCCUGAUGGAGGGGGAUAACUACUGGAAACGGUAGCUAAUACCGCAUAACGUCGCAAGACCAAAGAGGGGGACCUUCGGGCCUCUUGCCAUCGGAUGUGCCCAGAUGGGAUUAGCUAGUAGGUGGGGUAAAGGCUCACCUAGGCGACGAUCCCUAGCUGGUCUGAGAGGAUGACCAGCCACACUGGAACUGAGACACGGUACAGACUCCUACGGGAGGCAGCAGUGGGGAAUAUUGCACAAUGGGCGCAAGCCUGAUGCAGCCAUGCCGCGUGUAUGAAGAAGGCCUUCGGGUUGUAAAGUACUUUCAGCGGGGAGGAAGGGAGUAAAGUUAAUACCUUUGCUCAUUGACGUUACCCGCAGAAGAAGCACCGGCUAACUCCGUG
rnacentral:rRNA from 1 species